GACGAACGCUGGCGGCGUGCUUAACACAUGCAAGUCGAACGGUGAAGCAGGAGCUUGCUCUUGUGGAUCAGUGGCGAACGGGUGAGUAACACGUGAGCAACCUGCCCCUGACUCUGGGAUAAGCGCUGGAAACGGCGUCUAAUACUGGAUAUGUGAUGUGACCGCAUGGUCUGCAUCUGGAAAGAAUUUCGGUUGGGGAUGGGCUCGCGGCCUAUCAGUUUGUUGGUGAGGUAAUGGCUCACCAAGGCGUCGACGGGUAGCCGGCCUGAGAGGGUGACCGGCCACCAUGGGACUGAGACACGGCCCAGACUCCUACGGGAGGCAGCAGUGGGGAAUAUUGCACAAUGGGCGGAAGCCUGAUGCAGCAACGCCGCGUGAGGGAUGACGGCCUUCGGGUUGUAAACCUCUUUUAGCAGGGAAGAAGCGAAAGUGACGGUACCUGCAGAAAAAGCACCGGCUAACUACGUGCCAGCCGCCGCCGUAA
rnacentral:rRNA from 1 species